rnacentral:rRNA from 1 species
CCUACGGGAGGCAGCAGUGGGGAAUUUUGGACAAUGGGCGCAAGCCUGAUCCAGCUAUUCCGCGUGUGGGAAGACGGCCUUAGGGUUGUAAACCACUUUUGUAGAGAACGAAAAGUCUAUUGAUAAUACCGAUAGACGAUGACGGUACUCUAAUAAUAAGCACCGGCUAACUACGUGCCAGCAGCCGCGGUAAUACGUCGGGUGCGAGCGUUAAUCGGAAUUACUGGGCGUAAAGGGUGUUCAGGUGGUUUUGCAAGAUGGAUGUGAAAGCCCGGGGCUUAACCUGGGAAAGCCAUACUUGACUGCAAGACUAGAGUGCGUCAGAGGGGGGUGGAAUGCCAAGUGUAGCAGUGAAAUGCGUAGAGAUGUGGAAGAACACCGAUGGCGAAGGCAGCACCCUGGGACGCAACUGACGCUCAGACGAAAGCGUGGGGAGCAAACAGGAUUAGAUACCCUGGUAGUC